rnacentral:lncRNA from 1 species
CAUUUUUUUGCGCCUGCGCAUAAAUCUGAGAAACGUGAGUUUUGUCUUCAUUGUUUAUCUAGACAUAGGAUAGGUUGUGUGAAAAUAUUACUGAUGUUUAACGUUAAAAAUGGACCAAAAGAUUAAUGCUAAACAACAUUUGACAUGUUUGAACGAACAUAAAUAGAUUAUUUACUAGGUUUUUUUAGCUUUUCGGCGUGAUUUUACACUCCCCCCACCACGUUUUGUGGGAGCAUAAUGAACGCUAAGUACUUGGUGUUAUUUGGACAUAAAUUAUGAACUUUGUCAAAAGAAACCACAUUUGUUCCGGACCUGGGAUGCCUUCCGGACCUGGGAUGCCUGCCUUCUGAUGGAGAUAAUCAAAGUUGAUAAAAGAGAUUAUCUUGAUGAAACCAGGAGGGGAUCCUGACGAAACCAGGAGGGGCAGCAGUGCUGAAGGAGUAUGAGUACACAGGGACAAUCUGUGACAAGUUCAAGAAGGCAGAUGGUGAACAUCCUUACAGGGCAUAUGACUGAGUCUAAGGGGAGAAUCCCUCAGCGACAUACCAAGGAGAAGUACGCCCUGGGGAUUUUCACCUUGUUUCCUGCACUUUAAGAUCCGCUCUCCAGGAAAGGAUAUAUACUUCAAAACUUCAGCCUCCUCUUCGGGACAGAAACGGGUGCCAAACUUCUAGAAAAGUGGCAUACAGUGGUUCCUCCUUUUAAAAGUUGCGAGCUUACACCGCGGGACUUAGAGUGGGACAGUGACAUGUCUUCCCUCCUACUCCUAUCACAAAAUUCCGCUGGUAGGAAGAAAACACAGAAGAUCAGUGCAGCUCAGGCCAUUGACCAUCUGGUUGUAUUUCACAAGUGUUGUUGGAGCCUGGAUAACUACCUGGAGACGGAAGGAAGAUGGCAGACAUAUCUACUCGCCCCUGGAACCAGCAAGCAGGCCAUCAGCAACUUAGAGCUAAGUUUAUGAACAAUGUAUAGAUGUUACAUUUGUAGAUCUUUGCAUGAUGCGGUUGGCACAUUGAUUCAGCACCUUAAGCUUUUGCAUGGCUUGUCUGAUAUGUGUGGUAUGUGCUCCAGAUGGAUGUUCUGUCACGGGCAGAUAAAUCACUGGAGGAUGAGUCAGGCGCAGGAGACUGAGUUCCAUUUGAGCAAAAAUGUAUUUAAUGCUGCCAAGGGGCAAAAUCCACACAUAAGGCAGGGUGCACAAAAGUCAAAUGACGAGUGGCAGCUCCACUCUAAAAGUCAGACGGGGCACAGCCCGGCAACCCUAAUGCCUAAAUGAAUACGUAGCAAAAGCAACUACGUUAAAUCAAAGCAACCCCUAUCACACGUAACAUAGAACAAUCCCGCACGAAUCCUAACUAAACACAGACAAACUAAAUACCCCCCCACUAAUGACAAACAAGACACAGGUGCAACCAAAAAACAGACAUGACUAACAGACACUGAAACAUAGAUUGGUGGCAGCUAGUAGGCCGGCGACGACGCCCGCCGAGC